AGUUUUGCGCAGUGGCAAUAUCGGAGCCAGUGCGGUCUACCCGAGGCGCAUUAUUGCUAAUUGAAAAGAUAACUAUUCGUUGGUGCUCUGCUUUUAUCCCAGGAGGUAACACAGCUAACACACACUUAAGACAUGCUGUGAACAAAAAUAGUGCUAAGUAUUUAACAUGGAUUGUCAU
rnacentral:snRNA from 1 species